UGCAGACGACUGCCUCCUCAUCGGACGUGCCUCAACUCAAAAUAUGGAGCACUUUGCCUCCAUUAUCAAGUCCUACUGCCAAAUAUUAGGACAGUUGAUCAAUAUUCAGAAGUCUGCGAUCAUUUUCAGCUCGAGGGUGAAGCCCCAAGUCAGAUCAGCAAUCAAGAAGAUCCUAAGGAUUUGGGAGCAGUCAGGGAUGCUGAC
rnacentral:lncRNA from 1 species